rnacentral:rRNA from 1 species
AGUGAACGCUGGCGGUAGGCCUAACACAUGCAAGUCGAACGGCAGCACAGUAAGAGCUUGCUCUUACGGGUGGCGAGUGGCGGACGGGUGAGGAAUACAUCGGAAUCUACUUUUUCGUGGGGGAUAACGUAGGGAAACUUACGCUAAUACCGCAUACGACCUACGGGUGAAAGCAGGGGAUCUUCGGACCUUGCGCGAUUGAAUGAGCCGAUGUCGGAUUAGCUAGUUGGCGGGGUAAAGGCCCACCAAGGCGACGAUCCGUAGCUGGUCUGAGAGGAUGAUCAGCCACACCGGAACUGAGACACGGUCCAGACUCCUACGGGAGGCAGCAGUGGGGAAUAUUGGACAAUGGGCGCAAGCCUGAUCCAGCCAUACCGAGUGGGUGAAGAAGGCCUUCGGGUUGUAAAGCCCUUUUGUUGGGAAAGAAAAGCAGCAGGUUAAUACCCCGCUGUUCUGACGGUACCCAAAGAAUAAGCACCGGCUAACUUCGUG